rnacentral:sRNA from 1 species
CUUCCUUUAAAUAAUAGCUCUUUUAGUUCCCUGGCAAUUUCGAUAUCGGAACGUCCAUGGCAGGCCUUUACCUUACGACUUCCGCCUUUACUACAUACCUGAUUGCUAGCAGUGUCAGGUCUAAGCUCUGCGUUUGGAUGGGUUCUUAUUCAGCAUCUUAGGCAUCUGCGGAUCUCUCAAUGCCCACACGGAUUCAUUAGCUGUUUUAUCGGAUUGACAUGGGUGGCUGGUGGACGUAAGAAAGAAAAAGAUUGGUUAGGGUUCAAAUAUCAAUAAACACCACAAUAAUAACUGUCAGAGAGGCAAGGCAUACUUCGUGAUGAUGAGCUAAAUAGCCGGUUGAUGUGCGGAGUCCACGAACAAUCGCAGAAAACUCAUUGCCAACCUAGUAUGAGGUUUUAUGCAGCAGAGAUAUUAAAGC